GAUGAACGCUAGCGGCAGGCCUAACACAUGCAAGUCGAGGGGUAGAACACUUCGGUGUUUGAGACCGGCGCACGGGUGCGUAACGCGUAUGCAAUCUACCUUGUACAGGGGGAUAGCCCAGGGAAAUUUGGAUUAAUGCCCCAUAGUAUAUAACCUUCGCAUGUUGGUUAUAUUAAAGUUCCAACGGUACAAGAUGAGCAUGCGUCCCAUUAGUUAGUUGGUAAGGUAACGGCUUACCAAGACGAUGAUGGGUAGGGGUCCUGAGAGGGAGAUCCCCCACACUGGUACUGAGACACGGACCAGACUCCUACGGGAGGCAGCAGUGAGGAAUAUUGGUCAAUGGGCGCAAGCCUGAACCAGCCAUGCCGCGUGCAGGAAGACGGUCCUAUGGAUUGUAAACUGCUUUUAUACAGGAAGAAACCCUCCCACGUGUGGGAGAUUGACGGUACUGUAGGAAUAAGGAUCGGCUAACUCCGUGCCAGCAGCCGCAGUAACAC
rnacentral:rRNA from 1 species